GCUGGGCACAGUGUCUGCGCCUGUAAUCCCAGUGGCUCGGGAGGCUGAGGCAGGAGGAUCGCAAGUUCAAAACCAGCCUUGGCAACGGCGAGGUGCUAAGCAACUCAGUGAGACCCUGUCUCUA
rnacentral:sRNA from 1 species